rnacentral:lncRNA from 1 species
AGCAUCCGAAAGAUCACUCCAAUUUUCAGCCAACAAAUCCUUAAGAACACUGUAAAGCUCGGGGUCUUUUAUGUCAGGAAUGUGGGUCACUUCUUUACUAUAAAACCUCAUGCUCCCUAUGCCAUUCGAGAAAGGAGACCUGCAUUCUGUGAAUGUUUUUUCGACAAAACACAUUCACCAUAUAAUACAUAGUCAGAUGUAGCUUCCCUAAAGUCAGCAUUUCACUUUACUUAAAGUAGUCUCAACCAAUAAUAAGAAAAAUCAAAAUCAACUGUCAAUUUUACAUGGAAAUGCAUAACAAAUCAUCAUAUAAUGGAAUAUCAGUAAUUUAUUUUCUCCAUGAAACACAGACACGACACUUAUUUGCAGCUUAUAGCACUAACACUUAUCAUGAUAAUAGCUUAUCUAUAAACUGUUCUCAUAAGCACUUAUCAUGAUAUCACUUAAAAGAUAAAAUAAAGUUAAUUAUUUUCUUUCCGUAUAAGCUAUAAACUAUUUUCACAAACUAUCUUGGAGAACUUAUAAAAAUAAGCUGAAAACAACUUAAGAACAAUGUUGUAGGUUGUUUUGAUAAGCGCUUUUAAACAGACUCGCAAAACUUAUGUCACUAAAUAAACUCAAAUAAGUCGAUCCAAAAAGGUCCUGAUAGUGAAAAUGGAAAUGAUUGUAUGUAACCAUAUAUCGUGUCCAAUACUGACAUGUGUCCCACACCAGACUCGUCUUCAAUAUAAAGUGUCGAUACUACAAUUUUGUCAUCAACAGUACACAUAACGUAUUCCUAGGUGCAAAAUUAAAAGCCAUACCAGACAUAGCCUAGCUUAAUGCUACAAAAUUAAUAGACUACAAAGCUCAACAUUUUAUUUAUUUAUUUAUUUAUUAAACUUCAAUCUAAGACAAGUAGAGGUUUGAAUAUGAGGGAUCAAAAUAUGAUUAAUAAUGAAUUGUUGUAAAUCUGAAUAUAUAAUAGAAUUGAGAAAAUUGGUAGAGAGAGAGAGAGAGUACCUGAGGAGGAGGAGGAGGGAGAGAGGGGAUUGGGAAAGCGAAGGGAAGAGAAGGUGCGGUGGGUGUUGGUGGAUGAAGCGGCGGCGAUUGCAUGAGAAUAAUGAGAUCUGGAAGAGUUGAGUGAUCGGAGGAAUAAGGAUCUUAAUCCCAUCAUCAUC